UACAGAGGGUGCUAGCGUUGUUCGGAAUCACUGGGCGUAAAGGGAGCGUAGGCGGGUUUUUAAGUCAGGUGUUUAAUCCCGGGGCCCAACCCCGGACAGGCACUUGAAACUGGGAAUCUUGAAUAGUGGAGAGGUCGGUGGAAUUGGGGGUGUAGCGGUGGAAUGCGUAGAGAUCCCCAAGAACACCCGGUGCGAAGGCGGCCGACUGGACAAAUAUUGACGCUGAGGCUCGGAAGCAUGGGGAGCAAACAGG
rnacentral:rRNA from 1 species